rnacentral:misc_RNA from 1 species
UCUUAGCUUUUUGCCUGUCCUUCGGGUCGGGUGGGUGGCCAUGAGGAGGGUGGUUUCGGGGAAUGUCGACCGUAAAGGUGCGUGAGUGGUGCUUGGUAUGUUACGGGUGGUUGGAUGUCUGCAUGUGCAGCAACGUCCACCCGUGCACACCUCUUCAUUUGCCGCGAGGGGCCGACCUUCGGCCUCUAGCAACCGUCGGUUUUUCCUGUGUUGCGUGCCUUCACCAUGGUAUCCUAUUGCCUGCUUUAUGUCCCAUUCCAUCGUGCGUCGCUCAUGCGGCGUGGGAUGGACCCCGAAACGGCCCCUUUGUUCCGUCCCGUCGGCGCUUGUGCGCGGUCGGCAUGGCCCAUUGGGCGUCGCUUGGUUUCUCGGAUACGGAACCUUGUGUGGGUACGGGGUCUCCCGGGACCCUGUGUUUGCCCUCGUCAAGCGUUCUCGCUUCUCAGAAACGACCGGCCGGUCGCGUGUCGACAUGCUCGUGCGCGGUCGGCGUCGUCGAAGAGGAAUGCUACCUGGUUGAUCCUGCCAGUAGUCAU